GGAAACCGGAGCUAAUACCGGAUAAUAUUUUGAACCGCAUGGUUCAAAAGUGAAAGACGGUCUUGCUGUCACUUAUAGAUGGAUCCGCGCUGCAUUAGCUAGUUGUAAGGUAACGGCUUACCAAGGCAACGAUGCAUAGCCGACCUGAGAGGGUGAUCGGCCACACUGGAACUGAGACACGGUCCAG
rnacentral:rRNA from 1 species